rnacentral:rRNA from 1 species
GUGCAGCAGGCGCGAAACCUCCGCAAUGCACGCAAGUAUGACGGGGGAACCCCAAGUGCCACUCUUAACGGGGUGGCUUUUCAGAAGUGUAAAAAGCUUCUGGAAUAAGGGCUGGGCAAGACCGGUGCCAGCCGCCGCGGUAACACCGGCAGCUCAAGUGGUAGCCGCUUUUAUUGGGCCUAAAGCGUCCGUAGCCGGUCUGAUAAGUCUCUGGUGAAAUCCCACAGCUUAACUGUGGGAAUUGCUGGAGAUACUAUCAUGACUCGAGGUCGGGAGAGGCUGGAGGUACUCCCAGGGUAGGGGUGAAAUCCUGUAAUCCUGGGAGGACCACCUGUGGCGAAGGCGUCCAGCUGGAACGAACCUGACGGUGAGGGACGAAAGCCAGGGGCGCGAACCGGAUUAGAUACCCGGGUAGUCC